CCUACGGGAGGCAGCAGUGAGGAAUAUUGGUCAAUGGACGAGAGUCUGAACCAGCCAAGUAGCGUGAAGGAUGACUGCCCUAUGGGUUGUAAACUUCUUUUAUAUGGGAAUAAAAUGUUCCACGUGUGGGAUUUUGUAUGUACCAUAUGAAUAAGGAUCGGCUAACUCCGUGCCAGCAGCCGCGGUAAUACGGAGGAUCCGAGCGUUAUCCGGAUUUAUUGGGUUUAAAGGGAGCGUAGGUGGAUUGUUAAGUCAGUUGUGAAAGUCUGAGGCUCAACCGUAAAAUUGCAGUUGAAACUGGCAGUCUUGAGUACAGUAGAGGUGGGUGGAAUUCGUGGUGUAGCGGUGAAAUGCUUAGAUAUCACGAAGAACUCCGAUUGCGAAGGCAGUUCACUGGACUGCAACUGACACUGAGGCUCGAAAGUGUGGGUAUCAAACAGGAUUAGAUACCCCAGUAGUC
rnacentral:rRNA from 1 species